rnacentral:misc_RNA from 1 species
GAAAAGCUGGCUAUGCCGUUUCUAAGUUACACAUUGGCAAUGCAUCAUAAAUUCAUCCAUCUUUUGGUUCUAACUUGUAAAAAUUGAAAAAGAAAAUUCAACCAAUAUGCUACUAAAUUGUAUCUAAUAUUCAAUUUCUGUAGUCAUGUGCAUACAAAGUUUUUCUUUUUUUAAAUUUCAAAAAAAUAAAUAAUCACUCUUAAUAAUAUACAUAUCAUUCUUUGAUCGAAUCCAAAACCCAAUAUGACAAAAGUGGUUUAUUGAACAAAUCAGUUUGAUUUAAUUUUCACAUGAAAAAUUUUCGGUUUAAGAAUAUGAAAGCAUGUUCAAG